UGGGAUUUGCACUUUCGGUUACUCGUCCAACACUCUAACCACUAGGCCACAAUAAAGCAGUCCCACACAGCCCACAGGCUCAGCCUCAGCCAUGUCUGCCCCGCCAGGAGAGACUGAGCGGUCUGCCACGCCAUCAGUCAGCCAUGUGCUGAAGGGGUGGAUUAAACCAACGUACUCUGGACCCAUCUAAGAGGUAGAUUUCCUCUCCUUGCACUUCACCAUUCAUCUUGAGUCGCUCACUUCAUCAUUCCUCUUUUUCUCUCUCUCUGUCUUUCUCUCUAUCUAGGCGGCAGGUAGCCUAGAGGUUAGAGUUUUGGGCCAGUAACCGAAAGGUUGCUGGAUUGAAUCC